CACAUGAUACCUUUAUUCAAGAGUCAAUAGCAAAUGGAACAAAAGCACAAAGCAGAUAUUCAGAAGUGUUUUUGUGACAAAAACUAACAAAUAAAUGCUCGAUAUUCAGAAAGAUUUCUAUGCCUGUAUGAUUUUUCUGCCAGAAAGCUAUAUUCCGCAUUAGCCAGCAAUACUCUAGCCUCUCUGGGUGUGGAUCUUGUUAAAUGAAUGUAUAUGAAUUUGGUAAAUGUAGCAGGGAAAUCAGGACAACAUAUGGGGCAGUCACUUAUACUAACACUGGUGAAGUCUGAGUAUAUCCAAGGGCACAUCCCUGACGGUUCCGUAAUCAGAAGUGCAGACAUAAAGAGGUAUUGUAAUGACACAUGCCUGCCUCUUCUUAAAUAUAGGUUUGAUUUGAAAGAAAAUGACAGUGUAGUCAAUUUGGUCACUUUGGCAAUGGCGCCAGCCUUCUCCUGCGACAAUAGAAAAUGAAAGUGUUCGUUUCCUACUGGGUUUCCACUUUCCUGUGUCAAUUUUUCUCCCCGUCAUUUUCUCUCAUCCCAUCUCUGCGUCAGCCUCUCCUCAUAGUCUGUGUCUGUUUCAAGCAUCCGUUUGUCUGUCUGAAUCCUCUCCGGCUGCGACCGUGAGGACGUCUGCUUUUUGGUUCUCAAACAAAAACAGAUGCACGGUGCUUGAUAGAAAUUAUGAACUCUAGUCAACAAACACCGUAUGUCCCAUUUUCCACUCAUGGGUGGUUAGAGUACAUUUCUCUUCCAAAAAAAAAGGCAAAAAAAAGAAAAGUGGCAGAAAAGGAAACAAAAAAGUCUGUCACACGGCAAGUACUGAAUUAUAGUCUUGCAGUUUAAUAAGAAGGGGAGGUAUAAUUUGGUGAUUUGCUGUUCUGUGGAGCUGGGUUGGCAGAUGAGUACCAUUAAGUGUUUUUUAUCUAUGUGCGUGGAAGAAUACAUGAUGUGUAAUGCUUAACUACAAGAAGAGAGAGUGAACAUUUGGAGUUUUUAAAUGGUUUGCCUGUACAACCCACAGAACACACACAUUAAAGAAACCCUAUAGGGCAUCUUCUCUGUAGACGUGUAAUUUAGUUUAACCAUUCCAGGGUUGCAAAUGCACCUGAUGUUACUUUGAAAUGAACCUGAUGAGUUCAGCUUCCAUGGCGACUUCGGCCUCCUCAGCAGAAUGGGAGCUGACACCUGUAUCGGGGGUUCGCACUCUUUGCAAACUCGACUCACACAGAUUUAAUUUGUGUCACUCUGUGAAUACUUUUUCUUCCGCGCUGUUCCAUCACUGUGUAGCAGACCUUUAAAUACUCGUCCUGACCUCGAAUAGCCCGACAGCCCCCGAGAUAAUCCUGCAGCUUCACAGCGGAGAGAAGAAACAGUGCAGAAAAAUCCGCCUGGAGAGAGUGACUGUUGGAAAAUUCUCACUGACUUCUUAGUUCUUAUUUAUCUUCGUGACAGUGGGUCCGGAGAAGGAGAUGACAGGGAGGGAGAGCGGCGUGGUGCGUUGGCUCUGCGUGUUAAGGAGAGGCUGUGAUCAUCGCCGGCUGCAGAGAGACAACAGUGACGGGAAGUGACGAUGAGGCCCGAGACGAGAGCCGCGAUGACUGCUUCCUGUCAUGGUCUGGAUGUGCCUUUUCUCCAGUGUCCACCUCUGGCCGAAGCUGCCAUUCUCUCACCAGGGCAGCUCACCUGGAAGUUAUCCGUGGCAAUCAGCAGAGAGCUCCGUGGACUCACACACAGAUUCACGCUAUGCUCCAGGAAGAAAACACCCACCACACUCACCUGCUUGCCCUCCUGACACCGCAACUUACCAGGACUCCUGAAAUUCAGGUCAGCCUGUUGUUAAUGCUAUCAGCCUGCCACUCAAACCUCUGCCUCCCCCUCCAAGCCUAUGACUCCACCU